GGAGGUAGUGACAAUAAAUCACAAUGCGGAACCUUUGGUUUUGCAAUUGGAUUGAGAAGAAGGUACAAAUCAUAUCGAUAAACAAUUGGAGGGCAAGUCUGGUGCCAGCAGCCGCGGUAAUUCCAGCUCCAAUAGCGUAUAUUAACGUUGUUGCAGUUAAAAAGCUCGUAGUUGAAGUUGGAUGAGUAUUUGAGUUGAAUUUUCGAAUUGGAUUCAAAUACUUAUCAUUUCUAGUAGUUAUGCUUGGGUAUUCAAUUACUUGAGUAUGAUAGCUAGUCAUUUACUGUGAGAAAAUUAGAGUGUUUAAAGCAGACGUUUGUUUGAAUAGAUUAGCAUGGAAUAAUAAUGAUAUGCUUGAUUUCAUUGAUUGGUUAUGAAAGAUAGCAAGAUUAAAAGGGACAGUUGGGGGUAUUCAUAUUCAAUAGUUAGAGGUGAAAUUCUCGGAUUUAUGGAAGAUGAACAAGUGCGAAAGCA
rnacentral:rRNA from 1 species